rnacentral:rRNA from 1 species
UACAGAGGGUGCGAGCGUUAAUCGGAAUUAUUGGGCGUAAAGGGCGCGUAGGCGGUUAGAUAAGUUGGGUGUGAAAUUCUCGGGCUUAACCUGGGGUGGUCACUCAAAACUGUCUGGCUAGAGUAGGGAAGAGGAAAGUGGAAUUCUCGGUGUAGCAGUGAAAUGCGUAGAUAUCGGGAGGAACACCAGUGGCGAAGGCGGCUUUCUGGUCCACUACUGACGCUGAUGCGCGAAAGCGUGGGGAGCAAACAGG